AGUGAACGCUGGCGGCAGGCCUAAUACAUGCAAGUCGAACGGCAGCACAGUGGAGCUUGCUCCAUGGGUGGCGAGUGGCGGACGGGUGAGGAAUACAUGGGAAUCUGCCCAGUCGUGGGGGAUAACGUAGGGAAACUUACGCUAAUACCGCAUGCGCCCUUCGGGGGAAAGCCGGGGACCUUCGGGCCUGGCGCGAUUGGAUGAGCCCAUGUUCGAUUAGCUAGUUGGCGGGGUAAAGGCCCACCAAGGCGACGAUCGAUAGCUGGUCUGAGAGGAUGAUCAGCCACACUGGGACUGAGACACGGCCCAGACUCCUACGGGAGGUAGCAGUAGGGAAUAUUGGACAAUGGGCGCAAGCCUGAUCCAGCCAUGCCGCGUGAGUGAAGAAGGCCCUCGGGUGGUAAAGCGCUUUUGUCCGGGAAGAAAAGCAUCGGGCUAAUACCUCGGUGUUCUGACGGUACCGGAAGAAUAAGCACCGGCUAACUUCGU
rnacentral:rRNA from 1 species